rnacentral:sRNA from 1 species
AGCAGCCGCGGUAAUUCCAGCUCCAAUAGCGUAUAUUAAAGUUGUUGCAGUUAAAAAGCUCGUAGUUGAAUUUCGGGAUUAAUUUACUGGUCGUGCUAUUGUACGUACUGGUUUUAUUGAUUCCUCCCUUCUGACGAACUAUGAUGUCAUUAAUUUGGUGUCAUAGGGAAUCAGGACUGUUACUUUGAAAAAAUUAGAGUGUUUAAAGCAGGCUCACGCUUGAAUACAUUAGCAUGGAAUAACGGAAUAGGACGUUUGAUUCUAUUUUGUUGGUUUCUAGGAUCGACGUAAUGAUUAAUAGGGAUAGUUGGGGGCAUUAGUAUUCAAUUGUCAGAGGUGAAAUUCUUGGAUUUAUUGAAGACUAACUACUGCGAAAGCAUUUGCCAAGGAUGUUUUCAUUAAUCAAGAACGAAAGUUAGGGGAUCGAAGACGAUCAGAUACCGUCGUAGUCUUAACCAUAAACUAUGCCGACUAGGGAUCGGAUGAUGUUAAUUUUUAAUGACUCAUUCGGCGCCUUACG